UUGACGGGGGCCCGCACAAGCGGCGGAGCAUGUGGCUUAAUUCGAAGCAACGCGAAGAACCUUACCAGGGCUUGAAAUAUACCGGACCGCCUCAGAAAUGAGGUUUCUUUUAGUCGGUAUACAGGUGGUGCAUGGUUGUCGUCAGCUCGUGCCGUGAGGUGUUGGGUUAAGUCCCGCAACGAGCGCAACCCUUGUCCUAUGUUGCCAGCGAGUAAUGUCGGGGACUCAUGGGAGACUGCCGGUGUCAAACCGGAGGAAGGUGGGGAUGACGUCAAAUCAUCAUGCCCCUUAUGUCCUGGGCUGCACACAUGCUACAAUGGCCGGUACAGAGGGCUGCGAUCCCGCGAGGGUGAGCGAAUCUCACAAAGCCGGUCUCAGUUCGGAUUGGAGUCUGCAACUCGACUCCAUGAAGGCGGAGUCGCUAGUAAUCGCAGAUCAGCAACGCUGCGGUGUAAUACGUUCCCGGGCCUUGUACACACCGCCCGUCACGUCAUGAAAGUCGGUAACACCCGUAAGUCAGUGGCCCAACC
rnacentral:rRNA from 1 species